CAGUCGCCGCGGUAAUACGGAGGGUGCAAGCGUUAAUCGGGAUUACUGGGCGUAAAGCGCACGCAGGCGGUCUGACAAGUCAGAUGUGAAAUCCCCGGGCUUAACCUGGGAACUGCAUUUGAAACUGUCAGGCUGGAGUCUUGUAGAGGGGGGUGGAAUUCCAGGUGUAGCGGUGAAAUGCGUAGAGAUCUGGAGGAAUACCGGUGGCGAAGGCGGCCCCCUGGACAAAGACUGACGCUCAGGUGCGAAAGCGUGGGGAGCAAACAGGAUUAGAUACCCGCGUAGUCCCUGUCUCUUAUAC
rnacentral:rRNA from 1 species